AUACGGAAGGUGCAAGCGUUAUCCGGAUUUACUGGGUUUAAAGGGUACGUAGGCGGCUUGUCAAGUCAGUGGUGAAAGCCCAGCGCUCAACGCUGGAACUGCCAUUGAAACUGGCUGGCUAGAGUAUGGUCGAGGUCUUUGGAAUGUAACAUGUAGCGGUGAAAUGCUUAGAGAUGUUACAGAACACCGAUUGCGAAGGCAGGGGACUAGGGCAUAACUGACGCUGAGGUACGAAAGUGUGGGGAGC
rnacentral:rRNA from 1 species